UUAACACAUGCAAGUCGAACGAUGAUCCGGUGCUUGCGCCGGGGAUUAGUGGCGAACGGGUGAGUAACACGUGAGUAACCUGCCCUUAACUCUGGGAUAAGCCUGGGAAACUGGGUCUAAUACCGGAUAUGACUCCUCAUCGCAUGGUGGGGGGUGGAAAGCUUUAUUGUGGUUUUGGAUGGACUCGCGGCCUAUCAGCUUGUUGGUGAGGUAAUGGCUCACCAAGGCGACGACGGGUAGCCGGCCUGAGAGGGUGACCGGCCACACUGGGACUGAGACACGGCCCAGACUCCUACGGGAGGCAGCAGUGGGGAAUAUUGCACAAUGGGCGCAAGCCUGAUGCAGCGACGCCGCGUGAGGGAUGACGGCCUUCGGGUUGUAAACCUCUUUCAGUAGGGAAGAAGCGAAAGUGACGGUACCUGCAGAAGAAGCGCCGGCUAACUACGUGCCAGCAGCCGCGGUAAUACGUAGGGCGCAAGCGUUAUCCGGAAUUAUUGGGCGUAAAGAGCUCGUAGGCGGUUUGUCGCGUCUGCGUGAAAGUCCGGGGCUCAACUCCGGAUCUGCGGUGGGUACCGGCAGACUAGANUGAUGUAGGGGAGACUGGAAUU
rnacentral:rRNA from 1 species